rnacentral:pre_miRNA from 1 species
AAUAGAAUUGUUGGGUCAUAUAGUAUGUUUAACUUUUUAAGAAACUAUCAGACUCUUUCCCAAAGUGGCUGUACCAUUUUACAAUCUCCUCAACAGU